GGCCUAUAGGAACUGAACAGUCCCGCGAGCACCGGAAAGAGGCGGAGCCUCCGCCCUCGCCGGGCCUGGCGCACUGGGCCCACAGCGCCCUCUAUUGAGGCUCUGCAUGGAAGGAGCUCUGCAUUGAGGAGCUGCAUGGAACCUGUCCCAAGCGCUUUGCACCUGGCUCUUUUGAAAGGGUAGCUCCUUGGUCCUUGGGAAGGGGCGUCCCCACCCAGAUCCUAGCUUCAGAUGAUGAUGAAACUGAGGCUCAGAGAUCAACGGGCUCCCCCAAGAAGGAACUGGCUGCCGGCAGACUCCAGGACCUGCUCUCUUUAACACCACACCAGGAGGUAACACUCCCUUCCCUUCUGUAGCUGGGGAGACUGAGGUUCAGGGAGGUUACACAAGAUGAGGAAGUGGCAAAGCCCAGGGACAACCAGGACCCCUGAACAUCCUGUGUCCUUUCUCUAAGACCUAGGAACCUGUUUCUUGGUGGUUCAUUCUCUCCUUGCCUCCCACCAAGGAGUUGGGAGACACUCCUCCCACUCCCAACACCAUCUCCCGUCUCUGCACGAUUGAGGGAGUAAUCCUGGGAACCCUGGAAUCUGGAACCCUGACUGCUCAUUGCAACACAAGCUGAGGGAAGUCAUCACACUCAGGCACACCCAGUCCCCUCCGGGGGGCCCCAAGAACACCCCAUACUCUACUCCAGGAGCCUUCCCCAGCUCCUCAGGACAACACACACCCAGAAGACACAGGACCUAAAAAACAAAGUACAAACUUUAUUUUGUUUCUUUAUAAAGGCACGGUGGCCUCUUGGUUUUUCCCCCCACUUUCUUAACAAAAUAUAAUAGUUUCUCCUUGAACACAAAGACCUCAAAAUUGUAAGAAAAAAAAUUUUCAAAAUAAAAAAGCAAAACAAAAAAAAAAACAAAA